rnacentral:rRNA from 1 species
UACGGAGGGUGCGAGCGUUGUCCGGAAUCACUGGGCGUAAAGGGCGCGUAGGCGGCCUGAUAAGUAGGGGGUGAAAUCCUGCGGCUUAACCGCAGGGCUGCCUUCUAAACUGUCAGGCUCGAGCACAGUAGAGGCAGGUGGAAUUCCCGGUGUAGUGGUGAAAUGCGUAGAGAUCGGCAGGAACACCCAGGGGGAAACCAGCCGACUGGGCAUCGACUGACGCUGAGGUGCGAGAGCGUGGGGAGCGAACCGG